AGGCGGCGGUGAAGCAGCAGAGAAAAUGGCGGCCAUGGCUGCGGAGGCGGCAGCAACUGCAGCGGUGCCGGGCGAUGGGGGGGCUGGCGAAGCCGAGCCUGAGAUGGAGCCUAUCCCAGGCAGCGAGGCCGGUGCGGACCCUCUCCCUGCCGUCACCGAGGCCGUGGAGUCGGUGGUGCCUGAUGGGGAGGAGGCCGACGGAGGGAAGGUUGUGCCCGGCGAGGCCGAGGAGCCGCCGCCUGUGCAGCUCGCCCGGAGCCCGGCCGGGACUCGGGAGCCGGAAGCCGAGAGGACGGAGAAGCUGCCGCCCUCCACCCCGGAGGAGGGCUCGCCCCUGGCCGAGCACCGCGGAGCGCCUAGCCCGGAGUCCGAGGAGGAGCCGCAGCCCUGCCCGCCGCCUGCUGGGCACCCUGAACUUCCCGAGGAGGAGCCGCAGCCCUGCCCGCCGGCUACUGGGGGCUCCGCGGAGCCGGAGCCCGGGGAGGAGCCGUCCCGGCCGGAGGAGGAGGAGCCGGAUGCUGCUGAUGCCGCCGCUGUCGAGCCCAAGUCCCCGGUGCCCGUGGCUCCGGCCGGAGGGGAGGCGGAGGCUCCGCUGCUGCCUGGCUCCGAGGUGCGGGUCACCCUGGAUCACAUCAUCGAGGACGCCCUGGUGGUCUCGUUCCGGCUGGGAGAGAAGCUUUUUUCUGGGGUCCUCAUGGACCUCUCUAAAAGGUUUGGACCCCAUGGAAUCCCUGUGACCAUAUUUCCUAAAAGGGAAUAUAAGGAUAAACCUGAAGCCAUGCAGCUCCAAAGUAAACCAUUCCAAGAUGAGGCACAGGUGAAGUGUGAAUCUAAUGCUGCAGUCCCUGAUGACUCUUCUCUUGCGCAGCCAUCAGAACCUAGCAUAGCUAAAAGCCUAUGGACUUCUAAACCACCUCCUCUCUUUCAUGAGGGAGCACCAUACCCUCCUCCUUUGUUUAUCAGGGACACGUAUAACCAGUCAAUACCUCAGCCUCCGCCCCGGAAAAUUAAGCGGCCCAAGCGUAAAAUGUACAGGGAGGAGCCCACUUCUAUCAUGAAUGCUAUCAAACUACGGCCCCGGCAGGUCUUAUGUGACAAGUGCAAAAACAGUGUUGUUGCAGAAAAAAAGGAAAUUAAAAAAGGUGGCAAUGCAAGUGACUCUUCAAAAUAUGAGGAUAAUAAAAAACGAAGAAAUGAGAGUGUGACUACUGUGAAUAAAAAACUUAAGACUGACCAUAAAGUGGAUGGAAAAAGCCAAACUGAAAGCCAGAAAAGGAAUGCUGUGGUCAAGGUUUCAAAUAUUGCCCACAGCAGAAGCAGAGUAGUUAAAGUUUCCGCACAAGCAAAUACUUCAAAAGCGCAGUUAAAUACAAAAAAAGUUCUCCAGAGCAAAAACAUGGAUCAUGCAAAAGCUCGGGAAGUCUUGAAAAUGGCCAAAGAAAAGGCACAAAAGAAGCAGAGUGCAACCUCCUCUUCCAAAAAUGCACAUUCAAAGGUCCACUUCACACGGCGUCUUCAGAACACCAGCUCAGGUUCCCUUCCACCCCGAUUGCGUUUAAAGCCACAAAGGUAUCGGAAUGAAGAAAAUGACUCUUCUCUCAAGACAGGACUUGAGAAAAUACGGAGUGGCAAGAUGGCAUCUAAGCCCCAGUCUCGCUGCUCCUCCACCCGCUCAGCAGGUGAGGCCCCUUCAGAAAAUCAGAGCCCCUCAGAAGGCCCUGAAGAGGCCAGCAGUGAGGUUCAGGACACAAGUGAAGUGCAUGUAACUGUUGAUCAGGAUGAACACCAGACAUUGGGCAAGAGAGGCAGCAAAAGCAAUAUAACGGUUUACAUGACCCUUAAUCAAAAGAAAUCUGACUCUUCCAGUGCAUCAGUUUGUAGUAGUGAUAGCACAGAUGAUUUGAAAUCUACCAACUCUGAGUGUAGCUCUACUGAAAGCUUUGAUUUUCCUCCAGGCAGCAUGCAUGCACCUUCCUCCUCCUCCUCCUCCUCCUCCUCCUCUUCAAAGGAAGAGAAAAAGCUCAGUAAUUCCUUGAAAACGGAAGUCUUUUCCAAAAACGUCUCUAAAUGUGUCACACCAGAUGGCAGGACCGUAUGUGUAGGGGACAUUGUUUGGGCCAAGAUUUAUGGCUUCCCUUGGUGGCCAGCCCGUAUUCUUACCAUAACUGUGAGCCGGAAAGAUAAUGGCCUUUUAGUUCGACAGGAGGCUCGUAUCUCAUGGUUUGGCUCCACAACAACAUCUUUUCUUGCUCUUGCACAACUAUCCCCCUUUUUAGAAAGCUUCCAGUUGCGCUUUAAUAAGAAGAGAAAGGGUCUUUACCGCAAGGCCGUCACAGAGGCAGCUAAGGCUGCUAAGCAGCUGACUCCCGAAGUUCGGGCCCUGCUGACACAGUUUGAAACGUGAACAUGGAAAGUAAGGUUUGAUCCGGGAGGUGGAGCUGGCUUGAGUGGCGGCAGAGAAGUGGAGGGUGAAGACAUCUCCCUUGGGUAUCCCACUCCUAUCACGCAUGAAGAGGAAGAGGUAGAGGCAGAGUAAGAAGGAACAAAAGCUGGGAGCUGAGGACAGACACCUCAAAGUGGAAAAAAGGGACAUGCUAGUUACAAUAAAGAAUAAGCUAACCGGCCUCCACCCAAGGAGGCAUGUGUGCAGCUCUCCAGCCCAGCCCUUGAAAGAUGUGGAGCAGGAACAGAACAAAAGAAAAUCUGUCACUGAACUCAUUUGUAUGACAAACAGCAGGUUGCUAAAAGCCCCUGCUUUUAACUUUGCACAACAGCCCUACACUUGGUAAAUACCAGAUAUACAUACAGUGAAUGCAUAAAGAUAGCAAUUAAUUGGUAAUAAUAAAGAUAUAUAGAAAAUUUAAAGUAUCCAUAGUAGCUUCAAAGUGGUUCCAUUUACAUAUGUCCCAAGGGUGUGGACAUAUAAUAUAUAUAUAUAUAUAUGUUGCAGUUGGGUGAAACCCAGGGCACAGACCGAUCUGCUUCACAUCCAGCGACACGGGACUAGCGCUAAUGUUGGUAAAUGAGAAAAAAGCCCUGACGCACUCCCUUCCCCACCCUUCCGACCCUGCGGGAAGUUAGCUCCUGGAACUCGAGGGUCAGAGGACCGCCUGGCUCCAGGUGCACUGCACCGCUCCCAGGGCCACCCGCUGCUCCCAGCCUGGGUUGUCUGGGCUGCCACCUCUGCCGUCCUGCCCUGGGGCUGCAGGGGCGCGGGAGCCAGGCGUACCUGCGCGCUGCUGGGCUCAAGCCCCACUUACAGCCUUCAGCCCUCUGAAGCUCUGCUCUGUAGAAUCCCAGUUUUCGGGAGGUUAAUAAUCUCUCCUAACAGUCCACCCAACCCCAGAAGCCUUCCCCAAAUCUGAAGAACUCUCUUCUGAAAGCAGAGUGGGUUUACAGCUAAUUAACGCAUCUGGACCUGCACAGCCCCUUGGGGGUGAGCACACUUUUCUCCCAGCACACGCCCUGGUACCACCUGCCCUGGGAGAGCUCAGCCCUCUGCCUGGAUCCUGCAGCCUCUGGCUGGCAAACCCGUCCCUGGCAGCGCUGUGGCCGCUCCGAGGAGCGACAUCUUUCUUUAAACCCCCCCAUCGGCCCACCUACCCCUCUGCCCAAACUUGACUAGUAAAGAAAAUUCAGCUUUGCACAUUAGAAACUUUACUCCAGUAAAGCACGGCACAGUUACAGGUUCAGCACUUGGAGAUCCUGGAGACUGUUUGCUGUUAUUUACUUAAGUGAGAUUUUAAUUAUGCAGAAGAUGCUAAAGGCUGCACAGGCCUCACUGUGAAUUAGGGCUUCUCUCUUCUUUUGACAACGACAUUUUAAUUCCCAUAGACUUAAUACACACUCACUGCAGACUUGUUCACGAACAAACAGGUAACCAAAACUGAAAAUGCAGCAGGACACAGUUAAAGAGAAAUCACACACACACUGCCCACCCCCCCCAGCUACAGAGACAAAAAUGAAAAUAAAGCACCAAGAACACCUCAGCUUGAGAGACUAUUCCUUUCAGGCAUAUUAGUGUAAAGACUGGAGCUACUUAAUUUCAGUCCUUAAGCACACAAAGAAACUUCCUGAAAUAAAUUCAAGAUGACAACCAAUAGCCAACAGACAGCCACCACUAACUAUUUAAGUAAAUCAUGUAUUGAAAUCUGCAUGGAGACAACUGAAAAAUCUGCCUCCAAGGUAAACAUUUCAGCAUCAAUCUAAGAAACACUAAGUAGUAAUUACAAAAGAUACCCCCUUCUCCAAAAUCUGAAUGAACUACUUCAACAUCACCUAUAUAUGUGUGUGUAUAGAAAUACACACAUUUCACAGCCUACUAUACUAUGAAGAUCAUUACAGUCACCUUUAACAUCACUUAUUUGGUUGCAGUUAUGGGUAUCUGUAAUAUGAAUGAAUCUCAGACAGGCAAAUUUAAUUAAUGUUAUGGUACCAUUACAAAGCGUGUAUAUAUAUAGGCACAAAAUUUCCUUGCUGCCUUCAGAAAGAUGAAUAAAAAGUAAAACUGUGGUGUAAGGGUGGCCUGAGGUUAACUUACCAAUAUUGCUAUAAGCAAGAAUAAAAAAAAAAAAAAUCAAAUGCUUCAAAUUAAUGUCCUGCAAGUACGUUAUCUGUGGGUGGCUAUACACACUUUUAACACCACCACCACGGGAAGGAUUCAAAUAAGGCAAGAACUUCACAAACCAAACCAACAGAAAUACUAAGCCUUUAUUACAAAGAGAAAUUAUUCCACAGAAGAGGCUGGCUUGCUUCCAUGCAUGCUGUCAGUCAUAUCCACCUGCUGAGUGUGGAGAAGUGCUUCUGCUAGAUUCAUUAAUUCCCCAAGACACCAUUAGGCUUUGUUCUUGGCUACAAGUGCGUGAGCAUUUUGAUUCAACUGAAUUGCUUUCUAGAAUUUUGUUACCAGCAUUGAGUGGGCCAAAAUAAUGAACCUGACUGUUGGAUAAGCCAAACACUGCAAGGGAAGAAAAAGAAAAA